UGGCUCAUUAUAUAAGUUAUCGUUUAUUUGAUAGUACCUUACUACUUGGAUAACCGUGGUAAUUCUAGAGCUAAUACAUGCUGAAAACCCCAACUUCGGAAGGGAUGUAUUUAUUAGAUUAAAAACCAAUGCCCUCUGGGCUCCUUGGUGAUUCAUAAUAACUUUUCGAAUCGCACGGCCUUGCGCCGGCGAUGGUUCAUUCAAAUUUCUUCCCUAUCAACUUUCGAUGUUUGGGUAUUGGCCAAACAUGGUUGCAACGGGUAACGGAGGGUUAGGGCUCGACCCCGGAGAAGGAGCCUGAGAAACGGCUACUACAUCCAAGGAAGGCAGCAGGCGCGCAAAUUACCCAAUCCCGAUUCGGGGAGGUAGUGACAAUAAAUACUGAUACAGGGCUCUUUUGGGUCUUGUAAUUGGAAUGAGUACAAUUUAAAUCUCUUAACGAGGAACAAUUGGAGGGCAAGUCUGGUGCCAGCAGCCGCGGUAAUUCCAGCUCCAAUAGCGUAUAUUAAAGUUGUUGUGGUUAAAAAGCUCGUAGUUGAACCUUGGGCCUGGCUGGCCGGUCCGCCUCACCGCGUGUACUGGUCCGGCCGGGCCUUUCCCUCUGUGGAACCACAUGCCCUUCACUGGGUGUGGCGGGGAAACAGGACUUUUACUUUGAAAAAAUUAGAGUGCUCCAGGCAGGCCUAUGCUCGAAUACAUUAGCAUGGAAUAAUAAAAUAGGACGCGUGGUUCUAUUUUGUUGGUUUCUAGGACCGCCGUAAUGAUUAAUAGGGACAGUCGGGGGCAUCAGUAUUCAAUUGUCAGAGGUGAAAUUCUUGGAUUUAUUGAAGACUAACUACUGCGAAAGCAUUUGCCAAGGAUGUUUUCAUUAAUCAGGAACGAAAGUUAGGGGAUCGAAGACGAUCAGAUACCGUCGUAGUCUUAACCAUAAACUAUGCCGACUAGGGAUCGGACGAUGUUAUUUUUUNGACGCGUUCGGCACCUUACGAGAAAUCAAAGUGCUUGG
rnacentral:rRNA from 1 species